GGAGGCGCCUGCAAGUCUAGAACGGCGUUGACCGCGGCGGAUUCUGAUUCCGCCAUUCGGAGGUUCGAUCCCUCCCGCCUCCC
rnacentral:tRNA from 1 species